rnacentral:rRNA from 1 species
UACGUAGGUGGCGAGCGUUAUCCGGAAUUACUGGGCGUAAAGCGCGCGCAGGCGGUCGGUCAAGUCCGGCGUGAAAGCUCCCGGCUUAACUGGGAGAGGUCGUUGGAAACUGAUCGGCUUGAGGCAAUGAGAGGGGUACGGAAUUCCAGGUGUAGUGGUGGAAUGCGUAGAUAUCUGGAGGAACACCAGUGGCGAAAGCGGUACCCUGGCAUUGUCCUGACGCUCAUGUGCGAAAGCGUGGGGAGCGAACGGG